ACAGCAGCAGCCGCGGUAAUACGAAGGGGGCCAGCGUUGUUCGGAUUUACUGGGCGUAAAGGGCGCGUAGGCGGACUGAUAAGUCAGGGGUGAAAUCCCAAGGCUCAACCUUGGAACUGCCUUUGAUACUGUUUGUCUUGAGUUCGAGAGAGGUAAGUGGAACUGCGAGUGUAGAGGUGAAAUUCGUAGAUAUUCGCAAGAACACCAGUGGCGAAGGCGGCUUACUGGCUCGAAACUGACGCUGAGGCGCGAAAGCGCGGGGAGCAAACAGGAUUAGAUACCCCGGUAGUCCCUGUCUCUUAUAC
rnacentral:rRNA from 1 species